AGAGUUUGAUCAUGGCUCAGAUUGAACGCUGGCGGCAGGCCUAACACAUGCAAGUCGAGCGGAAACGACACUAUYGAWUCUUCGGAKGAUUURAUGGGCGUCGAGCGGCGGACGGGUGAGUAAUGCCUAGGAAAUUGCCUUGAUGUGGGGGAUAACCAUUGGAAACGAUGGCUAAUACCGCAUAAUGCCUACGGGCCAAAGAGGGGGAUCUUCGGACCUCUCGCGUCAAGAUAUGCCUAGGUGGGAUUAGCUAGUUGGUGAGGUAAUGGCUCACCAAGGCGACGAUCCCUAGCUGGUCUGAGAGGAUGAUCAGCCACACUGGAACUGAGACACGGUCCAGACUCCUACGGGAGGCAGCAGUGGGGAAUAUUGCACAAUGGGCGAAAGCCUGAUGCAGCCAUGCCGCGUGUAUGAAGAAGGCCUUCGGGUUGUAAAGUACUUUCAGUUGUGAGGAAGGGGGUAACGUUAAUAGCGUUAUCUCUUGACGUUAGCAACAGAAGAAGCACCGGCUAACUCCGUGCCAGCCGCG
rnacentral:rRNA from 1 species